rnacentral:lncRNA from 1 species
CUCAACUCUCAGCCCCUUCGUGUCGUUGCCGUUUUGACUGUUGCGGCGAUAAGCACCUGGCCGGCGUUUUCUCGGACGUACCGUCUCCUGGAGCCGAGCUGGCGGCGGGCUGGAGCUGGCCUCCCCGCUCCCCUCAGUCUGUGGCUGCCACCAAGGCUGCUGGGUGGAGCCGCUUUCCAUUAUGCAAGUUCCCCUUUAGCUGUGCUUCUGUUUUCACUCGCCUACAAGUCCAGGUGUCCGUUUUUCUACUGAGGUUCCCGUGUGCGGCGUCCGCACGGGAUGCAUGCCGUGGGACCGGCGUGCGUCCGGGAGCGGAGGAGCGGAGCAGCGCAGCCCCGGCUCAACCCGCUAGUAAGCGGAUCAGUGGUUUGUCCUGGGCGUCAUCGCUCCUUGCGCCCCGCCUGCGAUUUCUCGUCAGCACUUUCGCCAGCAGCGGCGAGGCCGCCGUUUCUUGGUGCUGGCACCGCUGCUGGUGUCAGAGAACGUUUCUCGCUCGCAGGGCCCUCAGGCCAUCUGUGAUGUCAUCUUCUUAUUGUUAGCAUCGCCCGCUUCCCUGGCCGGCCUUUUCAGGCUCGCAGCACCAUGAUUUGCACAGAUGUGACAUUGUCAGCAUUUUCUCUAGUAGCGCUGGGCCUGGGUUUUUCUGUCACAACGCGGAUUUGCACCGUGUGGGGGUUUUCUGGGUGGCAGCACCUUUCUUUCCUCAACGCUGAUGUUUCUAGGUUGCUCACUGCUAGUUCUCAGAGUUUCUUGGUGACUUUCCAAGGCGCCUUAACUCUCUAAUGAAAACGGAAGUUGACCUAGAGGAGACAUCGUUUCCGGGGCUGGUAUGGGGCAUUGAGUCAGAAGAAUGUCCAGGAAAGUAUAAAUGCUCAGUAAAUGUUAAGUGCAAUCCUUCUUACACUCGUUCUCCUACUGCCAUGUCUCUGGGACAGAAAAAACUCAGUUAUUGAGCUCAGCGGUUUCAAAGUUUGGACUAUCUUCCCUGGGAGCUAAUUCCUAUAAUCCCUUCUGACCUCUCUAGUUUCUGACACCACACCCGACCCAACUUUUCCCUCCUUUUCUUGCCAGCAUUUUAUGUGCCAUCGCUGCAGACGCGGAUGUUGUGGCUCAGCUGUUAUAAAAAUCGUGGCCUGGGGGCUGGCCCCGUGGCCGAGUGGUUAAGUUCGCGCGCUCUGCUGCAGGCAACCCAGUGUUUCGUUGGUUCGAAUCCUGGGCGCGGACAUGGCACUGCUCAUCAGACCACGCUGAGGCAGCGUCCCACAUGCCACAACUAGAAGGACCCACAACGAAGAAUAUACAACUAUGUACCAGGGGGCUUUGGGG